rnacentral:rRNA from 1 species
UACGGAAGGCAGCAGUGGGGAAUAUUGCACAAUGGGCGCAAGCCUGAUGCAGCCAUGCCGCGUGUAUGAAGAAGGCCUUCGGGUUGUAAAGUACUUUCAGCGGGGAGGAAGGCGGUGAAGUUAAUAGCUUCACCGAUUGACGUUACCCGCAGAAGAAGCACCGGCUAACUCCGUGCCAGCAGCCGCGGUAAUACGGAGGGUGCAAGCGUUAAUCGGAAUUACUGGGCGUAAAGCGCACGCAGGCGGUCUGUCAAGUCGGAUGUGAAAUCCCCGGGCUUAACCUGGGAACUGCAUUCGAAACUGGCAGGCUAGAGUCUUGUAGAGGGGGUAGAAUUCCAGGUGUAGCGGUGAAAUGCGUAGAGAUCUGGAGGAAUACCGGUGGCGAAGCGGCCCCUGGGACAAAGACUGACGCUCAGGUGCGAAAGCGUGGGGAGCAAACAGGAUUAGGAUACC